CCCGUUUACAUUCUUCCUCUGGCGGAGGCGGGAGGGUCGCUUGAAGCCUCGGAUUUCGAGAUCAGCCAGGACAAAAAAGCGAGACCCCCGUUUCUACCAAAAAGGGGGGGGGGUGGGCGGGGGGAAGAGAGAGAGAGAGAGAAAGGAAAAGAAAGAGAAAGAAAAGAAAGAAAAACUAGGCGCGGUCACGUGUACGUGUAGUUCCAGCUGCUCGGAGGUUGAGGCGGGAGGAUCUCUUGAGCCCAGAAGUUCGAGGCCGCAAUGAGCUCUGAUCGUGGCAGAGCGAGGCCCUGGCUCAAAUACAUACAUACUUUGUUCUGACUUUGUGUGCCCUUACUCUUUCCUCAGGUGCACGCUUGGGCUCGUUACUGCUCAGAAUUUUAGAAUCACAGAUCCAGCAGUGAUCAGGCAGCUGCAGCUGUCAGGGACCACCACCACCUACGCGAUUGAUCCGUGGGAGAAGCCGUCCUACUCUUUUCUUUCUCCUUUGUCCUUCUCAUUCCUGACCCCUUCAGGAUUCUCAGUCUUCCCUCCGGGAGACUUUUGGCCAGUCUUGUCUCGCUCCAACCUCCUACCCCCACCCCAUUCCUCAGUGCAUUCGUGAAUUUCUCCAAGCAGGCCUUUCCAGAUCGACACUAAGUUCCAAUCCCGAGCUGUGUGACCCAGCACCAAUUCAGUCACGAUGAUGACUUGCAAUUGCUUAAUCAGUUGGCCUUUCCUCCUAGCUGUGAAGUUUACCGUGCAGGAUUGCAAACACCAGAGAGAAAAUCAGUCUCUGGAAUGAUGCCUUUGAUGGACCAAGAUGCAGCUGAUGAAGCAUUGAACCAAUUAGCACCUAGCAGGAGGGCACCCUUGCUCUGUGUCCUUGAAGGUUAAAGCUGUCAAAAAGUGGUCUCCCUCAAGUUCGGCCAUCUUGCUCUCAGAGAUCUAGAACUGGUAGGAGAAUAUAGCCUUGAUAGUGGAGAGGAAACUAUUGCUGUUGUGAGGGACUGAGAGAACCAGGCAGAGAGCCCAGAUUGACACAGCAGGUGACAAAAGAGGCGCGCCUACCUUGGGGAAUACGGAGGAACAGAGGAAAGUGAGACCAGGAGAAAGAGCAGGGGGGCGGGUGUGCAGGCCGGGCGCCGUGGCUCACGCCUGUAAUCCCAGCACUUUGGGAGGCCAAGGCAGGCGGAUCACAAGGUCAGGAGUUCGAGACCAGCCUGGCCAAUAUGGUGAAACCCUGUCUCUACUAAAAAUACAAAAAUUAGCUGGGCGUGGUGGCGAAUGCCUGUAGUCCCAGCUACUCGGAAGGCUGAGGCAGGAGAAUCGCUUGAACCCGGAACCCGGGAGGCAGAGGUUGCAGUGAGCCGAGAUGGCGCCAUUGCACUCUAGCCUGGGCGACGGACUGAGACUUCGUCUCAAAAAAGGGAGUGACUGUGUUGCUUUUGCUUUCUUGGAAAUCUUUUUUCUUAGUAAUUUUCCUAAAGUAAUUUCCUUAGGAAAUAAUGUAUUGCUAAGAGUAUUGCAACUUUUAGUAUUGACGAGGUACUUUUACUGAA
rnacentral:lncRNA from 10 species